UACAGAGGAGCCAAGCGUUGUCCGGAUUGACUGGGCGUAAAGCGCACGCAGGCGGACGCGCGCGUGGGGUGUGAAAUCUGGCCGCUUAACGGCCAGGCGCCAUCCCAUACGGCGCGUCUGGAGCAAUGCAGAGGUCGGUGGAAUUCGCGGUGUAGUGGUGAAAUGCGUAGAGAUCCGGAGGAACACCGGUGGCGAAGGCGGGUCUCUGGGCAGUAACUGACGCUGAGGAGCGAAAGCGUGGGGAGCGAACAGG
rnacentral:rRNA from 1 species